AUUGAACGCUGGCGGCAGGCUUAACACAUGCAAGUCGAACGAGUGGCGGACGGGUGAGUAAUGCCUGGGAAUCUGCCUGAUGGAGGGGGAUAACUACGGGAAACGGUAGCUAAUACCGCGUACCAUAGGAUGAGCCCAAGUGGGAUUAGGUAGUUGGUGGGGUAAAGGCUCACCAAGGCGACGAUCCCUAGCUGGUCUGAGAGGAUGACCAGCCACACUGGGACUGAGACACGGCCCAGACUCCUACGGGAGGCAGCAGUGGGGAAUAUUGCGCAAUGGGGGCAAGCCUGACACAGCCAUGCCGCGUGUAUGAAGAAGGCCUUCGGGUUGUAAAGUUCUUUCAGUAGCGAGGCGUUAACUACAGAAGAAGCACCGGCUAACUCCGUGCCAGCAGCCGCGGUAAUAC
rnacentral:rRNA from 1 species